AAGUGCAACCAGAAGCCCCAAGAUCACACAGGGCAUAGCCAGACCGGCGCUGGCGUUUACCUGGCCGCUCAGCACAUAGCUUCCCUUUUUCUCUCUGCUCCCUGGCGGGGCUCCCAGGCCUUAGCCUGGGAAAGAGAACACUGAGAACAGACUCUGCAAUAUCACUCUGGAAGUUUUCAGUUGCAUCUGGGAACCUUGAGAAAGACCAGGCUGGGCCUUGGAGACCUUGAAAAGGCUGUGGGACAGUGCUGAGAAGAUCUUAGUCUCACACUGAACCUGGACGUUCAUGGCUUUGGUUAGACUGGCUGUCUGGGCUCCAGGGAUUUGCCUGACUCUCCACCCUGACCCCAAAUACUGAGGGCCCCAGCCAGAGAAAUGUGCCAUUCACCUUCAGGAUGGGUCUUCCCACCCUCAUCGACGCACCCACAGGCGUGUUCCCAUGGUGGCUCUAAAUCCAUUCAAGUUGAUGAUGAAGACCAACCACCACAGAGCCUCUUGGUUGUGCUAUUUGCGAUCCUACACUGAUGCUGAGACUCCACACACAGAAAUCUCUUCUUUGUCAUAACCCAAAUUAUGGGACUUUCAGAUCUCUACAUGUGAACCCACACCACCUCUCACCUGAAGCCAACGCCCCUCCCCAGCUGUCACUCUGGCUUGGCUUCAGUCCUAAUCUCUACUGGUUCUUUAGUUCUUUGUGGCCCAGACUGUUCCCCCGACUCAAACCAACACAGCGAAAGGUUUAACAAGGGUUCUUGCAGUCGGAAAUCUGAGCAGAUGCACACAGAGAUUAGCUCUACCAGGUACGCAGGAGCGCUCACCAGACAAGGCUCCACCACCAGUCACUAGCUGUGGGAAUGUGGGAUGGGGCCUGAACCUCUCUGAGUCUCAGAUUCUUCAGUUAUAAAAACAAAUAGUCAAACUCAUGGCCUCGUACGAGGGUCAAAAGCAUAUAGCACUUAGCACAAUGCCUGCUAGUUACUAACUACUAACUACUAUUUCAUAUUAUUUCAGCAGUUACCACAUGGAUCCAGGGAUCCAGGGUCAGACCCACUCUUUUGUCAUGAUCCAAUCUCAUGGAAACUAUUCAUCCCAGGAGUUCUGCCUAUAGUCUGCUGGUCAUCAUGGACACUCAGUUUCUCCUUUGCAUUCCUCCUCCAGCUAUAGAUCCAGGAACUAAGAUGCUCACUGUAUCUCAUGCUCAGAUAUCCACAAUCACAUAGGUUUCCUUAGACUCUCCAGUGUUCUAAACUGGGAGGAGUCUAGAUCAGCUAAAACCCACAUAUAAGAUGCCACAUCCUGGUACCAGCCCAGAAAUUCUGUAUUUGUUUAAAUGACAUUUGCAUUUUCUGCUUAUGACAGAUACAUAUUAUUGUAUAAUUACAGUGUCUAGAAGCAUUUGAAAGUUGGUAAUUAUAGAAACCCAUACCAGUCCCAACAAGUAUGUUCCUAGUCUUCAUCUGUGACUAUUGACCCCUUAAAAAUAAGAAGCAUUUUAUGACAAACUGGUGUUUAUUAUAGACAACUACAGACAUAGAAAACUGCAUAGAAGAUAUGAAACCAUCUGCCUUCUCCACUUCCAGAGACAACGGUAAACAGUUUGGAAAGCCCCCACACUGUUAGAAGAUGGGAAUGCCAUGUGAAUUCACAGAGAAGUAAAUACACAUAGGCAAUGAAUAUGUGGGAAAAAAAACCUCCCUCAAAAAUGUACACUAAAGCAUGAAAGAGAAACUCUCCACCACAAAACUGGCGUGGACCUGAGGGAUGAUGCUGGCUUCCAGUAUCCUGUGUUGGGGAAACAAUACACAGGAACUGCUGGGAUUGCCCAACCUCCCCUGGUGCCAGCUUGGCACGAUGGAUUGAGAACCUCAAACAUAUUCAUGCUCUAAUAAAGGAUAUAAUGAUAGAUGUGUCCAAACAUUAA